rnacentral:misc_RNA from 1 species
UACAAAGUAAACAUUGCACCGCCGCUGCCCCCUCGCGGGCCAGGUGAGGGGAAGCCAAAACGUGAGAAGCGCGAAGUGUAUGUGAGCUAAGCGGCGGGAUGGGGGAGGCACGAAGGAAAAAGAAAAUGAAAGUUAGGCAAGUAGAAAGUCGUUGGACGGUGGCGCUGAACGCAUGGCGCGAAUAGAGCUCGCGAGGGGCGGGCGGGGGACUGCAGAGACUGCCGCCAAGGUCGCUCGCCCGAGCCUGCAGCCACGCGCGGUGCGGCGAGGCAGGUUUAGUGUGACAGCAGCUGCCGACGAGAUAAACGCGUCGGCGCCGCCACAGACAGCACCCCCCUCUCCGGCACUCGUGCUCGACAAACGCUCUCACGCUGGCUCCCAGUCCCAGGACGACCGGUGCACAAGGGGAGCGCGACGAAGGUUCGCGCUCGCCGCACCGCCGGCAACAACCACCGCGCGGUGCACCGCAGAAAGGGACCACCGGCAUGCAGUUCGUGUCCGUGGACGUGGGGACGCAGAGCGUCCGCGCCGCUCUCGUGAGCGAGAAAGGGCGCUUCCUGAAGACCGCGUCGCGACCGCUGGAGACGUGGAACCCGCAGCCUGAGUUUUACCAGCAGUCGUCGGACCAGAUAUGGAAGGCCUGCUGCGAAGCCGUCAAGGAGGUAUGCCGGGACGCCAAGGAUGUGCGCGGAAUCGGCUUCGACGCCACCUGCUCCCUCGUGCUUCUGGACGACGCCGGUCGACCACUCACCGUCAGCCUCAAAGGCGAACCGGAACAAAACGUAGUGCUGUGGAUGGACCACCGCGCCGUGUCGGAGGCCGAGGCCAUCAGUGCGACGGGACAUUCCGUGCUGCGGUUUGUCGGUGGAACGAUGUCCCCCGAGAUGCAGCCGCCAAAACUUCUCUGGCUUAAACAGAACCUGCCGUCCACGUGGGAGCGCCUGGGUCUCGCUUUGGACCUGCCUGACUUCCUGACGUGGCGCGCCACCGGCUGCGCGUCACGCUCCCUGUGUUCGGCAGUGUGCAAGUGGACCUACCAGGCGGGCUCGGCGCCAGGCUCGGACAUGGAGCCCGGAUGGCAGGAGUCCUUCUGGAUUCGUAUCGGCCUCGAAGACCUGACAAAAGACAGCUAUCGCAUCAUAGGACAGGAGUUCUGGCCUCCGGGUGCCCCUUGUGGCCGUGGCCUCAGUAUGGAAGCCGGCUUGCAGCUGGGCCUGAAGAAAGGCACACCCGUCGCCACUUCUAUCAUAGAUGCGCACGCCGGAGGCCUUGGUUUGCUUGGCUGCGAAGCUGAAGGGGAAUUCUGCAAGUCAUUCUCUCGCCGCCUGGCCAUCAUUGCCGGAACAUCCACUUGCCAUAUGCUGGCGAACGAGAACUGUAUCUUCACUCCAGGCGUGUGGGGCCCCUACUUCUCGGCCAUGGUUCCAGGCAUGUGGCUGAGCGAAGCCGGGCAGAGCGCUGCCGGAGCAUUGGUAGACCAUGUGAUUUCGACGCACCCUGCAUACCCGCUGGUACAGGCGAAAACGAAGCCAGGCCGGAGGCCAGAGGACACACUGAACGCUAUGCUGCUGACCAUGUGCGAGCAACGUGGCCUCGAUUCCCCGUCGCAGCUUGUGGCUGACCUGCACGUGUGGCCCGACUUCCAUGGGAACAGGUCGCCGGUCGCGGAUCCGAAUCUACGAGGCAUGAUAAGCGGACUGACGCUAUCGGCUGGUGAAGAAGACCUUGCGAAGCUUUACCUGGCUACUCUGCAGGCGCUGGCGUAUGGAACGCGCCACAUCAUGGACUCAUUGGCCGACACGGGUCACUCGGUUUCCAGUCUGCUCAUGUGUGGUGGAAUGGCCAAGAACCCCUUGUACGUGGAACUGCAUGCCGAUGCUACGGGAAUGCCGGUGCUGCUGCCUUCGGAGACCGAGUCGGUGCUGCUCGGCGGCGCCAUCCUGGCGGCCAGCGCGAGCGGUCGCUACAAGAGCGUCACGGAGGCCAUGCUCCGCAUGGGUGGCUCGGGCAAAGUACUGGCGCCGCGUGCCAGCGAGCGGCGGUUCCACGACGCCAAGUACACCGCCUUCCGCGCCCUCCUCGACUGCCAGUUACGUCUCAGGGAGAUCAUGUCGCCUAGUGGGAGACCAUCGUCCUCGUGCUCUUGACCUCAGUUCUCGCUCUUCUCUAUCACGAACUGGACACAGCGCUCCGAGUCCCCGUCUAAGGAAAGCGUAUCGACGCAGAGUGUCGACUGCCACCUAUUACUCGCUGAGGCAGGAACUCAGACAAGAAUACCUCUUGUGAUACUCGUUCGGACGGCAGAUAUUUCCAUGAUGGGCAUAUUCCGCCUUUAUUUCACAUUCCGAGUUACAAGUUAUCGACGAAACAUAAAUGAUAUUGACAGCGCAUGUGCUCAUACCGCUCUCUCUUUUCGGGUAUUAGUAUCCAGCCACUCACAACUUAGUGUGGAAACCGUUGCGAUCUGAACGGCUGCCGCCCCUAGAGGUGUCCCUGAUGGCUCCGUUACAUACUUCCGUGUCAAAGUAAACAGGGCAAGCCUCACCAGCCAAGUCAUUGUGAUCAGCUUGCGGCUCCAUGUUCAUUUCCGUUCAUUCCGGCACAUGGGUAUGAUAUAGAUGAAAUAGUUUAUUAUAAAAACGGUACUUGCGUGUGAGCUGCAACCACUACAUCCCAUGUUAAACAAGGUACACAUAUGCGACUUCAAUUUCUUAAAUAACACGGGAAUGAAAAUUGGCAUUUGUGGCAUAUUGAUAUUUUGCGUGCAAUUCUUAUAUCACUCAGCUUACCUUCCUCGCUGUCUGCUGCACCAUGGUGCAAUGGGAGCAGGCCUGCUGACACGAGAGAAUACGUGUGUCUUGCGUUGGCUGUACGAAAUGACUUGCGAAUUGUAUUAUUUACGCGCAGCUAUACGUCGCGGAUUCGCUGUGCUGUAUACCGUGUGUUGCUUAAGAGAAAACUCAUCAGCGCCAAUCAUUAUUGGCAUGGCGACGCCUUGUAGUCGCAUCCUGGAAAGGGCGCUUCCGUUGCUUCUUCCUUGUUGGCGUGGUUUCAUUUUCAAUGCGCAAAAAAUAACGUGAGAUUGCUCACGCUCAUAAAACGCUUGCUUCAAUCAUACGACUGCGAUGACGGCUUUUCUAUUCAAAACAAUACGUCGCAGAAAGAUUUUUUUUAUUGAGCUGCUAUAAACCAAUCAGCUAGCUUUUGUACAGACGCAAACCAAUCAUGACCCUGUUACUAAAAGUAUUCGUUACUGCAAAGACAAUAUGUACUUUGACAUCAUUUACCAUGUAGAGAAAAAGCGCGGUGUAGAAAAACGCACUAAAAAUAUACCAAAUAUGGUAUGCGCGAGCUUCACAUUGUGAUCAAAUUGUGAAAUUAUUCACAUUAUAGUGCUGGCAAACGAAUAGUCUGCCAUGGGCUCAAUAAGCGUGCCACGCAAGCGUGGUAUAACUUAUCUGGACAAUUUCUGCGAAAAUGCUUUUUUCGUAAACAGUGAUCUCACUGAAUAUUAGGCAGUCCUGAGUCGGGCAUCUGCUGCAGCUCUGCUGACGCAGGCUGCCAACCAUUUCCAGUGGCAGCCUGCGUCCGCAAAGGUCCUGCGGACGCCCGCCUAAAGCUUUCUAUUUACAAACAAGAUAAAUGUUCUCGUACAUACGGCAGUGUAAACGAAUGACCCCGUGUAAAGAAUUGCGUGGUGAUAUUCAUUUUCUGCUGCUGCUGGCAAGCGGACCAAUCAUUUGAAAAGAAUAAAGUGCACUAUAUUCUCCU